rnacentral:rRNA from 1 species
GGAGACUGUAAGUAUGGUUAACAGAGACAAACGGGGGCAUUUGUAUGGUCCCGUGAGAGGUGAAAUUCUUGGACCGUGGCCAGACAAACUACAGCGAAAGCAUUUGCCAAGAAUGUUUUUAUUAAUCAAGAACGAAAGUCAGAGGUUCGAAGGCGAUCAGAUACCGCCCUAGUUCUGACCGUAAACGAUGCCAACUAGCGAUCCGCCGAUGGAAAUUAUAUUGCCUUGGUGGGGAGCUUCCCGGAAACGAAAGUCUUCCGGUUCCGGGGGAAGUAUGGUUGCAAAGCUGAAACUUAAAGGAAUUGACGGAAGGGCACCACCAGGAGUGGAGCCUGCGGCUUAAUUUGACUCAACACGGGGAAACUCACCCGGCCCGGACACUGUGAGGAUUGACAGAUUGAUAGCUUUUUCAUGAUUCAGUGGAUGGUGGUGCAUGGCCGUUCUUAGUUCGUGGAGUGAUUUGUCUGGUUUAUUCCGAUAACGAGCGAGACUCUAACCUACUAAAUAGUUGGUACAUACUCUUAGUGUAUACAGCUUCUUAGAGGGAUUUGCGGCGUUCAGCCGAAAGAAAUUGAGCAAUAACAGGUCUGUGAUGCCCUUAGAUGUCCGGGGCUGCACGCGCGCUACACUGGCAAAAUCAACGUGCUUGUCCUACCCUGAAAGGGGCGGGUAAACCAUUGAAAAUUUGCCGUGAUUGGGAUCGGAAAUUGCAAUUAUUUUCCGUGAACGAGGAAUUCCAAGUAAGUGCGAGUCAUCAGCUCGCGUUGAUUACGUCCCUGCCCUUUGUACACACCGCCCGUCGCUGCCCGGGACUGAGCCAUUUCGAGAAAUUUGGGGACCGUUGAUUUAAUUUUUCUAAAUUACUUUGAUGGAAACCAAUUUAAUCGCAGUGGCUUGAACC